rnacentral:tRNA from 1 species
GUCUAAAUAGCUCAGUGGUAGAGCGUCAGGCUGAAAACCUGAAGGCCAUUGGUUCAAAUCCACUUUUAGACA